rnacentral:misc_RNA from 1 species
GAUGAAGAACGCAGCGAAAUGCGAUACGUAAUGUGAAUUGCAGAAUUCAGUGAAUCAUCGAAUCUUUGAACGCACAUUGCGCCUGCCAGCACUCUGGCAGGCAUGCCUGUUCGAGCGUCAUUUCAACCAUCAAGCCCUUGGCUUGCGUUGGAGCCCUGCGGCUGCCGCAGGCCCCUAAAAGCAGUGGCGGGCUCGCUAUCACACCGAGUGCAGUAGAUUACUCUUCGCUCAGGGCGUGUGGCGGGUUCCAGCCGUGAAACCCCCUACUUCUCAAGGUUGACCUCGGAUCAGGUAGGAAUACCCGCUGAACUUAAGCAUAUCAAUAAGCGGAGGA